UCAUUUUAAAGAUGGCUGCCUCCAUCGGACGUUUUUUAAAACCUUGGUCAUCGAGGUAAAUAUUUUACGUUAGUGAUGGUCGUUUUCGAAGCACUGCUUCAUGAGGCUUCGAAACAUUUACGAAUCUUUUGUUUCGAAUCAGUGGUUCGGAGCGUGUUUCAAACUGGCCCAAGUCACGUGAUUUUAGCAAACGAGGCUUCAUAACUGUUUCGAAACGUUUCGAAAAUCCGAUGGUUCACCACUAGACAGGGGCGCCAGCGUGUGUGGUGUUUCGAACUGCUUUGAAAAAUAAAUAAAUUUCGAAAAACCAAUAAAAGCUGCAGGGUCAAGCGCCACGAGCUCUCCUUUCAAUGACCCUGUGAUCAGCAAGUUCAUCAACAUGAUGAUGCAAGAUGGCAAUAAAAUCCUUGCUAGAGGAAUCAUGAACCAGACACUGGAGACAAUAAAGAGGAGACAGGUGGAGAAAUACCACAAAUCUCCAUCUAAUAGAGAAGACAUUGAAUGUAAUCCAUACGCCAUCUUCCAUCAGGCCCUAGAAAAUUGCAAACCCAUCAUUGGUCUGGCCAGCAUUCAGAAAGGAGGGAAGUUUUACCAGGUGCCCGUUCCUCUCACAGAUAAUCGAAGGCGUUUUCUGGCCAUGAUGUGGAUGAUCACAGAAUGCAGAGAUAACAAACAUUGACGCACACACAUGUAUGAAAAACUCUCACAGGAGCUGCUGGCUGCCUUUGCUAACAAAGGAAACGUAGUGAAGCGAAAACACGACCUUCACAAGAUGACCAAAGCCAACCGUGCAUGUGAGAAUUGAAAACUAUAAUCAAUCCAAUCGAUAUUGCUAAUGAAUUUAAUAAUUAUUUUGUAAAUGUAGGAGCCAAUUUAGCAAACAAUAUAGUGCAACCAGAAUCAAAGGCAGGUGUGGAAGUUGACAUAAUUAAUUCAAAUACAAGCUCAAUAUUUCUAAAAUCAGUAGAUGAAAAUGAAAUAAUAAAUAUAAUAAAUAAAUUCAAAAAUAAAAAAUCAACUGAUUUUAACGAUAUAGAUAUGGCAAUAGUUAAGGAAGUUAUAACAUUUGUCGUUAAACCAUUAACCUAUAUUUUCAAUUUAUCUCUCCAAACUGGAGUUUUUCCGGACAAUAUGAAAAUAGCUAAAGUUAUCCCUAUUUACAAAAACGGUGACAGCCAUUUACUUUCAAAUUAUAGACCAAUUUCUCUUCUUUCACAGUUUUCAAAAAUAUUAGAAAAACUAUUUGAAAUGAGAUUAGAUAGUUUCAUUAAAAAAUAUAAACUAAUAAGUGAUCAUCAAUAUGGUUUUCAAGCAAAUCGAUCCACAGAAAUGGCUGUAAUAGAGCUGGUUGAAAAACUGACCUCUGCAAUAGAAAAUAAAAAUCAUUCAGUUGGAAUUUUUAUAGAUUUGAAAAAAGCAUUCGACACCAUUGAUCAUAAAAUAUUAUUAAAAAAACUUGAAAUAAAUGGUAUUAGGGGUGUUGCAUUAAGAUGGAUUAGUGACUAUCUCAGGAAUAGAUUUCAGUUUGUGCAAUUUAUCAAUGGCAGGUCUGACCUACAGAGGGCUACUUGUGGGGUUCCACAAGGAUCAGUCCUUGGACCAAAGUUAUUUUUAUUAUAUAUUAAUGAUAUUUGUAAUGUGUCUACUCAAUUAAAUUGUGUUUUAUUUGCAGAUGAUACAACUUUGUUUUGUUCAAAUCAAAAUUUGGGACGGCUUCUGGACAUAGUGAAAGCAGAAAUGAAAAUGUUAAAAAAAUGGUUUGAUGUAAAUAAACUGUCAUUAAAUUUAAAUAAAACUAAAUUUAUGUUAUUUAGUAAUAAACAAAUAAAUACAAACGUCGAGAUUAGAAUUGACAAUUUUGAACUAGAAAUGGUAAAUGAAAUAAAAUUUUUAGGGGUCAUUAUUGAUCAUAAGAUUAGUUGGAAACCCCACAUAACCUACAUAAAGUCAAAGAUUUCUAAGACUCUGGCUAUUUUGUCUAAAACAAAACAUAAUCUUGAUUUAAAGAUACAAUUUGCAAUUAUGCGCCGCAAGAUGGCGCCAGAUCAAACAAAAACAAUGAUGUUGUUUACCGACGCUCUGAAGCAGCGUGGAAUUAUGGGAUUUGUAGUCUUUAACUCAACCGCUGAUGGCCAUCAAUCAGACGAGAACGAGAAAUCAAAUUGAUGGAUAAGGUAAUCAAGUCUUAUAAAUGUUGCGUUUGAUGACAUCGUUUAUUUCAUUAUGUAAGUUUAUAUGUGAUGUUCAAAACGAAAUUGUUAGUCAUAUUGAUAUUACAGUAUUAGUCCAAAUUCGAUGGUAAACACAGCACAGAAUUAAGUUUUCAACUUACAAUCUACAAUGAUUUUUCACAUAAUGUAUUGACAGUACAAAUCUUAUUGUGAAGUGUCUUAAAAUGACCAUUUAUAUUGCUGUACAAUACCUUUGAUGUGCAUAUCGUCCGCGGGAAGACGCGCUGAUUACAAUCUACACACUAAUGUUGUGAUCAAUAUAAUAGCAUACGUUUUUUGAAGGGUUACGAAUCAAAACAACUCACCCAUCGCGUAAAACACAAGCAGGAUCAGAAUCUCGGUCUAGUUAAAUGUUGUGGUGAAGCUCUCUCCAUCCAGAUAAUGCAACAACAAAUUGAUCCUCUCUCGUUUUCUUCCAAACUCUUCUUGGGUCGUUUGGUUGGCCUGUACGCUUACAGGAGCUGACACAACCAGCGGCAGACGGUACAGAGAUAUCCAUAAGUUCAUAAGCAAGCGCGUAGCCCGACAGGCGCUAUCGCAUAGUUCCGCAUUUGUCCACGACACUGGCUCGCUGCGUCCGAAAACUCAAGACAGUGAGGACUUGUUGCCUCGCUGCCUCAUGAGGCCAUGACUUCGGCCUCGGAGGCCUGAAGGCCGCUCAGAGAAAGGCUUUCCGACGCACUUCAAAGGCAGCGUGUUUGAAAUAUAAACAGAGAGCGCCUUUGUGAUAACUAAUCACAUAUUUGAAAACUACAAUACUAAUUUCUCGCUAGAAAUGCAAUUAAACUGCUUAAAAAGUGAAAAUAUACGUUUAUUUUCACUAAAUUUGUACUCCAGCCGCUUCCUUGGCCGCCAUUUUAUUUUUUCGAGCUCGACCACUGUUGUCAUGUCGUUUACGUCAGUAAAGGCGGUGACAAAGGGUCACAUGGAUAUUAACGUCAUUGAUAAGAGACUACACUGCCCCGUGUCAAUGUUUGGAAUGGAAAUUUUCUCACGAUUUACAAGUAGUUGAAAACAUUACAGAUAUUGAUAGUAAUCAGCUGGACAAAAUAUAUAACACUGGCCUAGUGGUUUUUGGAGAUUUUACUGCAAAUAUCUUACAAAUUGCACCUUUAAAGGCCUUAAAAAUACUUUACCAGUCUCUAAUACUGCCGUAUAUGACUUAUUGUUUAGAGAGUUGGGGAAAUACAUACAAAACAAUAAUAAAACCAAUUGUAAUUCUCCAAAAACGUGCUAUACGGACUAUAAAUAAAACAGAUUAUUUUCACCCAACCAACAAGUUAUUUACAAAUUCCAAUUUAUUAAAAUUUGAUGACUUAGUGGAAUUCAAAAUAGUUAAAAUAAUGUUUAAAAUAAUAAAUAAUAAACUUCCUGACUGUGUCCAGAACUUGUUUCAAAUGAAAUCAAUCUCCUAUGAUCUUAGAGGAACUCUUAUGUUAAGUAAACCCCGAAUUAGAACUAAUGUUAAACAAAGAAGUCUGUCAGUUCAAGGAGUUACACUGUGGAAUAGCCUCGAUGACGAGAUGAAAAUUUGCAAAUCCAUUAGUAGAUUUAAGAAAUUAUAUAUAAAAAAAGAUUACACUAUAUAAAACAAAUCAAACUUAGUUUCUUUUCUUUUAGUCAUUACAUGCAAGAUGAAUUUGGGUCUUUGUGUUGUGUGUAAAACAAAUGAUAUGUAAAAAGGAUUGGCGUAAUAAGCAUACGCUUCAGCCAAUACCUUUUCGGUCAACCUUUUCUUUUUUUUUAAAAAAAUAAUUGUUUAUAUUGCAAUUUAAUGUUUGUGUUUAUGUUUGCUUGUAAAUUGUCUUUUUUUUUUCUUUUCUUUUUUUGAAAUUGACCGAAAUAAACUUUAACUAACUAACUAACUAACUACCGCUGGUGGUAAAGAGACGGGCAAACCAAACACAAAAAUGGGACCUUCUUGUUUCUGACUGGCUGCAUCAAGAGUUUUGAUGGAUACUGAUCCAAACAGAAGCCAAUGGAAGUAACUGUGUUGUCUUGAAUCAUACAAUAAAAAAUAAAAAUAAGUUGUAUACAGUCUCAUUCUUAAGCAAGAAUUCUUUAGGUGUCAGAAAAGUGAUCUAUUGAACAUUAAAAUUAUUAAACGGGCAACAAAUCAAAAUACUUUUAUUUGUAAUUGUGUGAUAACAUUUACUGUCCAAUCAGAAAGAGAGUGGUAAAAAAAAUGUAUGUGCCUUAAAGACAUAGUAGUACACACAAAAAUGUAAAAUUCAUCAUUUACUCACUCUCGUAUUGUUACAAACCUGUAUAAAUGUCUUUGUUUUCCUGACUGGUAUAGUAUUAUUUUUUUCCUACUAUGGAAGUCAAUGGUGCCGCUGAUCGGUUUGGUUACAAACAUUCCUCAAAAUAUCGUCUUUCAUGUUCAUCAGAACAAAGACAUUUAUACAGGUUUAUAACAUGAGAGUAAGUAAAUGACAGAAUUUUCAUUUUCGGUGAACUAUCCCUUUAAAAUGAAGAGUUAACUACCCAGAUAGCAGACAAACAGUGAAUCAACAUUGAAAUUAUGCUUUUUUAGAAUUUUUUUUAUUAUGCAAAUACAAAGAAAGACAGAGAGAUAAGGCAAUAACCACUUAUGUACUAUUCGCACGGGAUUAGUAUUUUCUGGGGACCUCGUGUGAUUUAGUAAUU